CGUCCCUCCGUCCCUCCCUCUCUCUCCCCCUAGCGCGCGUGGAAAUUCCUUGCUAUACCUAAAGCUUGAUUUUCUGUCCGUUUCAGCUUCCCGAUGAUGAGAUUUUUAAAAAAUCGACCUAUCUCUCUUACUGGUCCUCUUCAACCAGUCAUUGGAGUAGAAAAUGUGUUCAAUUUCCAGAAGGGAUAGGGAGCAAAAGGAAAGAACCUUACUUUUGAUGAAUGUAUAAUUAAGUUUCAGUCCAGUGUUCUCGUGAGAGUAGAAGGGCAAUUGGACCUAUUAAAAAACGUGGAGCAUUUUAAAAGCUUCCAACGAAGACUAGUUAGCACCAGUGUUGCUAAACAUUUCAUGGGCUCAUUGUCUACAAACACAGUAGGCUGUGAAACACUGCAUUAAUUAUUACAUAUUACAAAUGCGUGCAAAAAGUGCUCAGGGCUUAGUGGAAAGGCAUAUAGAUAGGAGGGAGAGGCUGAUUUGUGAAAGUUAGAGCCUAACUCAGAACUUGUUGGAGUCUUGACAUUUACCCUUCUUUUAGAUCAGUCCUAGUAAGCUUUGUGGAGGAGGUCACCUGUAAUUUGGGCUCCCAUGGAAUAAAGGAAAUUUGAAAUGAGCAAAGGUGGAAAGAUGCUUUCUAAUAUGGGGGUUGGCAACUAAGAAGAAGGCAUAGAAAAGGGGGGACUGUAUGACAGGGGCACAUGUGAUUAUAUAGGAGCUAUCAGCAGGGAUAUAUCAGGAGAUAGUUUUUGGGGUUGUAGUAACAUGAGAGGGUGAAGGAUGUACAGAGUUUGAAUUUUAUUCUGUAUUGAAUAAAAUUAAGAUUGAAAAAUUAAGACUGGGUGAUUUUCCUUUUCAUCCUAGGGGAACCUGAUUUGAGGUCAAUUCUCGGAGAACACAAAGAAGUGUGGUGGUAUGUUCCAGGAUUGAACCAGCUGCCCUUUGACCCUGCCAACAACAACGAACCCCUGCAGUUUGCUAGUGCCAGUGGCCCUCUGGUUGCAAAUGGCCUCAUUGAGAAUGGAGGGGAUUCAAGCAAGAAAAGAAAGAGAACAAAUGCUCCUUCAGUUUCCUGGCCUGACCUCCCUCAGAGAUGGACUGUUAUAUGGAAGUAUAAGCAAG